UCACCGGGGGCGACAGCAAUAUGUAGGUCAAGCUAAAGACUUUACCUGAAUCGCUGAGAGGAGGUGCAUGGCCGUCGUCAGUUCGUACUGUGAAGCAUCCUGUUAAGUCAGGCAACGAGCGAGACCCGUGCCCACUGUUGCCAGCAUAUCCUUUUUGGAUGAUGGGUACUCUGUGGGGACCGCCGAUGCUAAAUCGGAGGAAGGUGCGGGCUACGGUAGGUCAGUAUGCCCCGAAUCUCCCGGGCUACACGCGGGCUACAAUGGGCAGGACAAUGGGUAUCGACACCGAAAGGUGAAGGUAAUCCCCUAAACCUGUCCUUAGUUCGGAUUGUGGGCUGCAACUCGCCCACAUGAAGCUGGAAUCCGUAGUAAUCGCGUUUCAAAAUAGCGCGGUGAAUCUGUCCCUGCUCCUUGCACACACCGCCCGUCAAACCACCCGAGUGAGGUCUGGAUGAGGCUGCGGUCGUUGCCGCAGUCGAAUCUGGGUUUCGCAAGGGGGGUU
rnacentral:rRNA from 1 species